rnacentral:tRNA from 1 species
GCCAGGUUAGUGUAAUGGUAACACAUCUUGCCCUCCACAACAAAAAAAAAACAUGCCAACUGAAGGCCUUGGGUUCGGUACCCUGCGGUUGUACAAAAUGUACACAGCAAAAACAUCCGGGUGACCCUUCACACCCUGUGCGAAUAAAUCCACCUCCACAGAAUGGCAACAAAAAAGAAGAGAAGACCCAGGUUCGAUUCCUGGACCAGGCA